UGCUAGCUAGUUUAAUUAAAAUAGCUGAUUUCGACUCAGCAGACUGUGAUUCAACUCAUAGCUACCAC
rnacentral:tRNA from 1 species